CCCCACCAUACAGACUCAGGGCUAAACGACAGACAUGAUGGAGAGUGUCCCCCACCCCACAUGCCAGUUCCCACCCAAUCUGGAGAUAAGAACACUGCGGCCUGCAGCUAGCCUCCCCUCCCUGAGUCCGGUACAAACCCCGCCCAGACCCGCUGGGGCUGACACCAGGGUGCCAGUCUUGUCUUUUCCAGAGGAUGGCCUGAGAAAGUGGGAGUCGGCUCUGUGCAUGCUGGGAGGAGCUCCCUUUAGCCUUUUCUUCGGGUCGCUGUCCCGCGGACCUUCAGCAUCAAGAUUUGCCACGGCCGCCCGACUUGCGCAGUGCCCGCGCGGUGCCCUCCCUGGGGCCAUGGUGACAAAGCCAAGAUGGGACAUAGAGAAGAACGCAUCUGGGGGAGGAAACUCGGUUGAGAGCCUCUGGAAGACGGGGGUCCCGACUUACACAUCUCUCCAUCUCCAUGGUGGCUGUCACAAGCUCCCACCCAGGUGGGGAGAGGGAAGCCAGAUCCCCGGCUGCUGGAUUGGGACGCGGAGCUGGGGACGAAGACGCGGCAGGUCCCCUGGAGCAGGCGGCGCGCCCCCGCGUCCCCGGGGCCUCGGUACCCCCUCCCUGCCCGGGCGUGUGCGGACGUGUCUCGGGCGUGACCUCGGAGCAGCUGCGCCACCGCUCAGCCUCGCGGCGGGAGAAACCCGAGCUCCCAACCAAACAGCUCCAUCUUUGGCAAGUCCUCUGGUAUUUAAGGCGCUGCCGGUGGGGAGAGAUGCCGCGUGCCUGAGCCGCUCUGGGAACUCACGAGCUCUGCUUGCCCUGGUUUUACGUUUCAGAAGCGUCUGAACAUCUGCAGGGAAACCUCCCCUGGGUGGCGGGGCCUGGGCCGGGCCGGAAACAGCCAAUGCAUCUGCAGCGAGAGGCGGGUGUGGGGGUGGGGGAGCCUGGUGUGUCCUCAGCCUUGGGGGGGGGGGGGCGAGGGCGGGAGGACUGGGCGUUUCUUUUCUUCUUUCUUCUUGUCCUCUUUUCUGCAGGAAUUAGGUGGUCCGCAGAGGCUGAGAAUAUUUCAACCCCUGCAAGACAAGCUCGGGCUCCCCAAGGCUGUGACAAGUUUUCAUAGUACUGAGCUGCCUCUACCAGUGUGAAGUCCGGGGGUACCAAGCUGGUGGAGACGGGAAAAUGGUGGAUUCUUUUCUGGGAAGAAGUUUCAAGGCCGCGUAAUGGUAGCUAACAUUGACUGCCCACUCUGUGUUAAGCAUUUUAAUACAGUGACUCAUUUAGUCCUUGCAAUGCCCAUAUGAAUCCUGUGAAAAAGGGAUUCUCACCAUCGCUGCUUUAUAGAUAGAGGAAGAGAAGCAGAGAGGUUCAGCCUAUAGAAGAGGCACAGAGAGGUUCAGCAACUUGCUCAGGGUCACACAGCUAGUGGCUGGUAGGGCGGAGUUUAAAUUAUUACCCCAGGGCCUGUGCUGGUAAUCACCACUCUGCUCAACAGAGGAAAGACGCUGGAGUCUAGAAUUUCCCUCCGAGCACAACAGAUGUCAAUAAGGUGGAGAAACUAGAUCUGGAAAGUUUGGAAGUCAGGGCAAGUCAGGACCUUCCUGAAUGUUCGAAUUUGGUCAGAAGGAGCUGGGGACAAAUAGGGUGGUGUAGCCAGCUCUCACUCGGAAUGGUUUGAGAGGACAUGCCACUUGGCGGCCCCACCAGGGCCUUCCCUGAGAGCCCGGGGAGGGGCCGGGUCACACCCUCACUGCGAGGGGAAGUAUGCCAGGCUCUUGGGAGGCCUCCUGCUCUGAAGUCCGGCAGGCUGAUUUAUUGACAGCCAAGGUCAGCUAAACUAUCAAGGAGUCAGAAGUGGUGCCCCACCCAGGACGUCCUGGGGCGUGGAAAAAGUCCCUAGAGGAUGCUCUUGGGGAGAAGGCAGGGACAAACCCAAGGUGGUAGGCCCGUUGGGCGGCUCAUUUCUCGGGGUGUGGGAGAGCUAAGUGGACUGCAUCCCCCCUACACAGACCACAGCAGGCUACUUCCCACUGAUUUAGAUGUCUCUCUAGGCUAAUUCUUACUUGUGGAUUUCACUACCUCUGUUCGAACAACCCCACUGGUGCCAUUGUACCAGCAAAAGUACCCAGCACAUUUGCCUUCAGUCAGGCAGAAAGAACCUUUCCUCCGCCACCCCCUCUCCCAGUACCUUACCCAUACAGCCAAGGGCCUAACUCUGAGCAAUGGGCCCAAAGUGCAACCACACCCACCUUCAAAAGACAUUGAUAAGAAUAAAUGAAACAAGAUGGGAUUGGGAGGGAGACAAACAUAAGUGACUCUUAAUCUCACAAAACAAACUGAGGGUUGCUGGGGGGAGGGUGGCUGGGAGAAGGGGGGUGGGGUUAUGGACAUUGGGGAGGGUAUGUGCUUUGGUGAGUGCUGUGAAGUGUGUAAACCUGGCAAUUCACAGACCUGUACCCCUGGGGAUAAAAAAAUAUUAUAUGUUUAUAAAAAAUAAAAAUUUUAAAAAAUGGAAAAAAAGAAGACAUUGAUAAGGGCCCAGUGCAGUCCCAGGUCUAUACUUGGGUCACCUGGACUGUAUCUGGGCGUUCCCAGGCUAACCCACCCAAUACGGCAUUCCUUCAGAUGGAGAAAGCAGCUGGGGUGGGAGGCACAUGCCUUGCUUUUUGUGGGUUCCUAUAUGGCUCUGCCCCAACUUGCUGUGCGCCAUCAGGCGAGUUACUUAACUUCCCUCUGCUUCAGUCUUGUCAUCAGCGAAAACAGUGAUGAUGCUAGCGAACACUUUGGAUUGUUGUCAGGAGAAUUGGAAUGAGUGAAUUAAUCAAUGUAAAAUGUCUGGCACAUGGUAAGUUCUAUCGGCUUUUUUUUUUGUUUUGCCAGAAUUCUGAUUAUUAUGCCACUCUGCGCAGCUCACUUUGCCUCUCUGAAUCUCAUUGUCUUUCUGGGCAAGACUGGUGCAAUCCUAUCUGUUUUAUAGGAUGCUUGUGAGAAUUAAAUAGUGUUAAUGACUAUUGUAAAGUUUGCAGUAGGUGGCUAUUCUUUAUGUGUUCCUUUAGCCUAGUUUAUCUGUUGGGGGGAUGACUGGAUUUUCAACUCUGAACAAGUUUCUUGUAAGAGCUUCAAAAUAGUGACCAUAGCCAGCGAGGGUGCUUGGACACCGGGCUUCGACAUCAGCCACAUCCCUUUUCCCAGCUGUAAAAUGGUAUGAUAAUAACCACCCCUAGGAAUCUCAAGGACAUUACAUAUACAAUAAUACACAAAGCACUUUGAGCUCCUCUGAAGAGAGACGCGCGUAAAUGGAAGGUGGUGUUAGAAGGUGGAGUAAUCACGGGUUUCUCUCCCCUCUUUUUAUUUAAUUAGGAGAAAACCAGUCAUUAGGAAGCCUGGUCUUGUUAAAGCCCUGGCCUGGGAAAUUGUUCUCUUGGCACCUAAUCAGGACUUGUGACAUGGCAAGUUUCUGCAAAAUGUGGGCAGCAGGGGACCUUCCCCCAGGCUCAGUGACAGGUCUGCAGAGGGUGAGGAAUGCACCGUCUGAGGGCCGUGGCGUGAGGUGACUGACGCAGUGCUGGCUGGAGGACUGCCUGGUCUCCUGCCUCCAAGGAGGCCCCCUCUCCCACGUCAGCAAGCAGACUGUCCUGCUCCGGCGUCUCACAAACCGGGGUGCCUGAAGCCACCUUACGUGUGUGUUUCAGCCCACCGCAUGCCUGGAUCCAUGGUUUUCCACCAUGGAACCUGUUGGCCCUGCUGGGGUGACCUCAGGGCUCUGAAAGCACCUUCCAUUUGAGCUUUUCUCUCUAAUUCAGUACCCGGAAGAAGGAAUCUGCUUGCUCGCCUUAAAAAUGGGUCACAGCAGGGUCAGCGCUGGGGUCCUACACUUGCCUCGCCAUGUGCCUCGGUUCUGCAAGCAGCCCCCAGCUGGAAAGGCUCCCUCCUCUCUGCAAGUCCCAACCUGCCUGUUCUCCUGAAUUCUCCCGAAAGACUGCCUCUGCCAGGAGGCCUCCCACAGUCUGUCCAGGUAUCCUUGUCCUUUUCCUCUUCUGGACUCUCUUCCAUGUGGUGUGGCGUGUCUGUUAGUCCCUGGCUCUGGGCUAGUGGAAGGAAUUAGGGAAAAUAAGUUAGGGAAGAGAAGGAGGCCCACCCAGAUGUCACAGCCAGAAUUACUAGCAGAAUUAAUUGUGCUGAUUUCCCCUGGCACCACUGACAAAGCCAGCAGGAGGCUUUCUGGAAAACCCUGAGAUGAGCAGUGCUUGUCAAAAUUAUGUAUUAUUUCAAACAUACAGAAAAUCCUGUAAUAGAUGCACACAGUUCCACCCACUCAGAUUGCCAGAUGUUAACGUUUUACUCCUAUAUUCUUUAAAAGAAGUGAAACUUCUAGAUACAGCUGAGCUGAGGCCCUCCCUCUGACUUGGGGUCACCGCUUUCCCUCCCUCUCUGGGGUCACUGCUUCCCUUUAUCUUUUCAUUAGGGGCCUUUUACCUGCAUCUACAGAUGGGUUUAGGUGACUGGUAAACCUCUGGGUUGUAAUCCACAAAGUGUAAAAUUUUCCUCGCACACAGCAUAGCUACUCAGGAAAUCCUCUUGACUCAACCUUCCCCCCUAGUCUCCACCAGCACGAGCACCGGCCCGAGCUGUCAUUGCCUUGCACUUGGACCUUUUGCUUCCCUACGACAGCCAGAGACAUUUUAGAAUCUUAUUUGGAUCAUGUUACCCCCAGCUCACAUCCCACUAAUGGCUCCUGAUUGACUGCUGAGUAAAAUUUGAAGUCGUCCUGGCCCCCACAAGGCCCUAUGUGUUAUCUGUCCCCCCACCCCUCCGCCCCAGCCCCCUGGCCGCCUCCCCACUGAGGCUGCCUCCCUCUUCCUCUCUCUGGUCUAGCCACGCUGGAUGAGCUUGCUUUUGCUCAGAUGCCCCAGCAUGGCCUUGCCCUGUGUCUUCACGGGCCGCUAUGCUCUUCCUCCACGUGGUCACUGGGCCGACCUCUCACGAGCUGCAGUUCUUUGCUCACAUUUCACUUCUCAGAGAGGACAGCCUGGCACACACCCUAUUUCAAAAUGCGGCCUCUUCCGUGCUGAUCUCUCUCUUACCCCGCUGGAAUCGCUCUUUUCCCAUAGUGCUCGUUUUCUAGCAAAUUGUAUAUUCACUUAUUACAUUUAUUACUUCUUGCCCAUCUUUUCCUGCUAGAAUGUGAGCUCCAUGAGAGUAGGACUUCCUGUCUAUUUUUGCUCCCUAGUGUUUCCUUGAUCCCUGCAAAUGGUGCCCAGUGCGGCGGUGCCCCAUAGUUGUUAAAUGACUAAAUGAAUGAAUGAUUGAAGGAAUAGAAGAGUGAAUAUGAGCAUUUCAUGCUGGAGAGGGUCCGGAACUUCCAUCAGAUUUUCAAAAGUGUCUGUGACAUUAAAAAAAAAAAAAAAAAAAAAAAAAAAGAGAGAGAGAGAGAGCGAGAGAGAGAAAGAAAGAAAGAAAAAUGGGAUAGGAACCAUUGACAUAGUAAAUCAUCAACAAGUUUACUGGAAACUUUUGCUUGCCAGGUAGUCUGUCUGAGGAAGCAGAAGGUCACAAGAAAGUCAUUCUCCUUCUCUGACUCGUGUCUCCCCGGAGAGCUGCUGUGGUAACUGCCAGGACCUCCUUACCCAGGACUGGCCAGACUGAGGCAGGGAGCCAAGGAUGCCUGGAUGGAGAGUGUGGGCAGGAGCUCUGGCAGGGGGCCGGUUCCAGAGAAGCUGUAAUUGUCUUUUCUUCUUCCGUGUCUGGGGGCAGAGGCCGAAUGUGGCCAAAGCUUCCUGAGCUUCCUUGGGUGAGCUAGGCAAGGUGCCCAGACCAACGGGAGCUGUUCCCUGCCUUGUAGGCUCUGAGCCUAGGCAAGGAGCGAGCCUGGGAACUCUCGUAAGAGCCCCAGUGAGGGGAGACGAGACAUUGGCCUUUGAUGCAGAGAGAUGUAAUAAGUAAGUCGAUGGGGGGGUGGGGGGCACCUGGAAAGCAAAAAGAUACCAAAGGCCAUCUGGAGGUGAUAGUGGGAGUGAAUUGGAGGUGAGUCAGCCAGCUCUCAAGGUAGUUAAAAGACAAGUGGGUAAUUGUGGGUGCAGCUGGCGGGGCACACACAGAAAAUGAGGAACAAGUGGUUAAUUGGGCCCACAAGCCCAGGAUCCCGCCUGUAAUUAGCAAAUUGCAGGGCUUUGAUAUUUGCUUUGGUAACAACUUAUGUAGUAAAUUGCAGGGAGGAAAACUGCACCCCUAGCCUGGGAGGUGACCCUAUGUCUGUAUUCCCUAAGCCAUUUUCUCACCACCACUUAUGGGCAGUGCACACAUGAACUGAACCCCAGCAUUGAGGGGAGGGAUGCUCGUGCCUGUCUGUAGGCUGACUAUGGCCUGUGAUACUUUUCAUGUUCCCCUUGACCUCUCAUUUAAGUUUUUGCCAAUUCGGGGCUGAAGUUGAGGCCUCAUCCUCCAGUGUGGGCCCCCACUAUUCACACAUUGUUUCCUAUGUUUCCUUGCAUCUGUGUUUACCUUUGCAAGCUUCUGAGAAAGUCUAACUCAAGUGAAGACCAGAAGCAUAGGAAAAUUGUUUGGGGAUUGUCAUGGUAAAAACCUUAUAAAUCGCCAUAGAUGCAGAGAGACUGGUGAGGACACAUAGGGAAGGAGCACUAGAUGAAAGUGUCAGGAGACCCUGGUUUGAAUUUGGAUUUUCAACCAACUCUUCAUUGGGUCUUGUCCAGCUACUUAAAGACUUGUACAUCAUCUUUGUUAUUUAUGGGUCUGUUUUUAUUGACUUGUUUUUCUCUUGGUUGUGGGUGAACAUUUUCUUGCUUCUUUAUAUGUCUAAUAAUUUUUUUAUUACAUGGUAGACGUUGUGUAGCUAUAUUGUUAAGUAUCUGGACUUUGCUGUCUUCUUUUAAAGAGUGUUAGACUUUGUUUUGGCAGGCGAUUCAUGUACUCAUGAAAUAGUUUGAUCCCUUUGA